rnacentral:rRNA from 1 species
GACGAACGCUGGCGGCGUGCCUAACACAUGCAAGUCGAACGAGAGCGACGGGUGCUGGCACGGGUCGAUCGGGUGGCGAAGGGGUGAGGAACACGGGGGUGACCUGCCCAUCAGAGGGGGAUAACAACAGCAAACGGAUGCUAAAACCGCAUAGGUCUUCGAACCGCGUGGGUCGAAGAGGAAAAGAGGCGCAAGCUUGUGCAGAUGGAUGGACCCGCGGUGCAUUAGCUAGGUUGUGAGGGAACGGCCCACCAAGGUGGUGAUGCAUAGCCGACCUGAGAGGGUGAUCCGCCACAUUGGGACUGAGACACGGCCCACACUCCUACGGGAGGCAGCAGUCGGGAAUCUUCCGCGAUGGAGGCAAGUCUGACGGAGCAACGCCGCGUGAGUGAAGAAGGUUUUCGGCUCGUAAAGCUCUGUUGUUAGUAAAGAACAAGUGCUAGAGUACCUGUUAGCGCAUUGACGGUAUCUGACCAAAAAGCCCCGGCUAACUACGUG